UCUGUUCACAAAGUUGAGGGGUAUAUUUGACCCUUUUUCCCUAAAACAAACGAACCGCCGCCGUCAAUCCCUCUCCGAUGAACUGUCACCAACAACGGACAGCCUUCACCUGUCACCUCUCUCUCCUUACCAGUCGGCGAUCCCCAACAGCCAACCGCCACUGCACAACAACCAGUAACCAGGACUCCGGCGUCCCUCCUCCCUCUGUUCUCCUGUCCACCGUUGCCUCCUUCCACCGGAGCUUGCAACAGCCAUAUACACCAGUGAAACCCCUCAAAACAGUGGACCAAAUGGUCCCUCGAACCGCCGCCAUCCCACUAUCUUUUAGACGGUGAAAUAGUGCCAGCGCCGGCCCUCCUCUUCUCCUGCCGCUGCUGCACAACUACACAUCCAUAAUCUUUCCAUAUUAGCCUCACCGGAAGUGAUGACCGGUGAGGUGCCGCAACAGCCAGUGUAGUCCCUUCCCCUUUUAACAGUGAAUUCCCUCCGAGACGACCGACGAGACUAUGUCAGAAUCAUGUUUUAUGCUUGGUCAGGCAUUCUCAGAUUUUUACAGAUCGGAUGCUCAGGUUCCCUACUGUGCUUACACAUUCCAGCGCAUCAACAACAGUAUUAGUGGUGAGUACUCAUAUAUGGAGGAUCGUUUAUGUUUACCUUAGUCUACCAACUUAGUAGUUAGUCGAAGUUAGUUGGGGACUUGUCCCAUCAACUUCUCAAUUAGUUUGAGGCUUUUCAGUCUAUUUCAGACAGCUAGUUAGCUUACCAGAUGUUAUUAUCAGUUUUCUCAGUAUUGUUUUCAGACGUUUUCAGAACUAUGAUUUUUAAUCGCAUGUUUCAGUAUUUAAAACCUUAUGGUAUUUUUAGUCAAAUUCCGUACA